rnacentral:rRNA from 1 species
GACGAACGCUGGCGGCGGGCUUAACACAUGCAAGUCGAACGAGUGGCGAACGGGUGAGUAAUGUCUGGGAAACUGCCUGAUGGAGGGGGAUAACUACUGGAAACGGUAGCUAAUACCGCAUACCAUCAGAUGUUCCCAGAUGGGAUAAGCUAGUAGGUGGGGUAAUGGCUCACCUAGACGACGAUCCCAAGCUGGUCUGAGAGGAUGACCAGCAACACUGGAACUGAGACACGGUCAAGACUCCUACGGGAGGAAGAAGUGGGGAAUAUUGCACAAUGGGCGCAAGCCUGAUGCAGCCAUGCGGCGUGUGUGAAGAAGGCCUUCGGGUUGUAAAACACUUUCAGCGAGGAGGCGUUACUCACAGAAAAAGCACCGGCUAACUCCGUGCCAGCCGCCGCGGUAAUAC